rnacentral:rRNA from 1 species
GACGAACGCUGGCGGCGUGCCUAAUACAUUCAAGUAGGACGCAGUUGCGAAUGGGAGAGUAACGCGUAGGUAACUAACUAUUAGAGGGGGAUAACUAUUGGAAACGAUAGCCAAUACCGCAUACUAGUAGAUGGACCUGCGUUGUAUUUGCUAGUAGGUAGGGUAAUGCGCUACCGAGGCAACGAUACAUAGCCGACCGUGGAGGGUGAUCGGCCACCCUGGGACUGGGAGACGGCCCAAACUCCUGCGGGAGGCAGGAGUAGGGAAUCUUCGGCAAUGGGGGGAACGCUUACCGAGCCACGGCGCGGGAGUGAAGAAGGUUUUCGGAUCGUAAAGCUCUGUUGUUAAGGAAGCGGUACUUAACCAGAAAGGGACGGCUAACUACGUGCCAGCCGCCGCGGUAAUAC